rnacentral:lncRNA from 1 species
UUGGCACAGAAGCUCAUUCGCUAUAAGUGAAACAUUUAUCAUUAUAUCACAAACAAACAUCCACAAUUUAGCUGAUGCAUUCAAUCUGCAUAUGGUGAAAAUUGGCAAACCAGGUCAUCGACUUGAAAGUGGACAACCUCCUAACCAAAUUGCCACGGUCCCAAAGCCUGCAGAUCGGUGCUUGAGCCUCCGCUGGAAAAACUGAUAAUGAGUCCCUCGAUUCAUUGCCACCUAAUUUCCUCUCCACUGAAGACGAAUGGGGGCGCUUUCGGACAGUUAAUUGUUUAGCUUCGAGACCACUGCAUUCGAUAAACAAGCGAAACGCCAUUAUCUCAAAAAAAACAAAACACAAUCAUAAGCUACGAACUAGAGAAUUAGUAGUAAGUUCCUACCAUCCUUGCUAGAGUUACCGGCGCCGGAGGAGAUGGCGGUGGGUGGGUUGAGGGCGGCGGCGAACAAGAUGGAAUCGGACAGAGAGCGGCGAGGGAGGAAUCAACGGUGGAUUAGGGUUCAAUAAGGGGGGAAAGGAGAAAUCGACAGUGGUUUACCUCUUUAGGAUUUUGAAAUCGUGCUUUCAACAAAGCAGAAAACCUUUUCUCAUUUACGUGCGUGUCUUUUUUAUUUUUAUUUUUAAUUCCGUGUGUAAUAUCUACAUGGCACUUAGCCGGAACACGUCAUAUACCAGUUGCCGGAUUAUUUUUACGGGCCAUAAAUAAGAAAAAAAUGAAACGAUGGGUAUAAUUUUGUAAAUAUGCUUAGGGUGGGAUAUUUUUGAGAAAACGCCUAAACGAUGGGCC